CUUAACCACUGGGCCACUAGGAAAGUCCCUUAGUACAGUUUUAAUAGCAAAAAUUUGCAAAUAAUCCAACUUUCCAUUAAUAGUAGAUGGAUAAAUUAAGGUAUAGUCAUUAUUUGCCAAUACAGUGGUGAAAAUUAGUAAAUUUUAUCUACAAAAAAUAGUGCAGAUAAAUACCAGGAAAAUUAUGUCAGGUUUAAAAAAUAGAAGUCAAUCACGGUAUAUAUACCAUAUGAUUCUAUUAAUAUAAAAGUUUAAAAUAAACAGUAUUUAGAGUUACAAGUGUGGUAUAACUGAGAAAAAGCAAGGAAAUGAUCAUAAAAUUCUGGAGUGAUUAGGGAGCAGGAAGGGAAGAUUAUGGUAUCUAGCCGGGGCAGGAUUUUAAAGGUAUGUUAUUUUACUUAAACUGGGCAGUGGCUACAUGGAUUUCAUUGCACUAUGAUACUUUAUACCUUACACAUACCUUAUAAAUCUUAUUUUAUAUUAGCUCAACAUUUAAUUUAAAAACAAAAUCAAACUCAUAUAUGUGUGUAUAUAUUCUUUAUUGACAUAGGAAAAAACCUUAACAUUCGUAGAUGAUCUGGAGCCAAAUAAGAUCCAAGGUGGGUUGGAUUGCUCAAGGUUCAAGCCGGGUAUUAUCAGAGCUGAUAUUCCACACAACAGUGGCCUCUUUCCCAAGAAUGUUACAGAUAUAAAUAUAUUUAAACAUCUAAAGACCAAACACUGUCUAAUAUUUCUGUUAACAGGCCAAGGUUAAUUUUGCUUGAGGUGGUAUGGCUCUUAUUUAAAGAAAAGGCAGAGGCGCGCGGCAGGGCUCGAGCCUGUGGGGGCGGGUCACGCAGGGCACGUGGCCGGGAGCAGCGGUGGCGGUCUGGCUGCGGGCGAGGAAGCCGGCGCCGGGCCCCUGGUCCGCGGGACGCCGUGCAGUGCCCGCCGCUUCCCGCCGCGGAGCCAUGGAGAUCGGCAUGGAGAUCAGCCAGUGCCAUUAAGGGGAAAUUGCAAUAAUUAGGAGCGUACGUCGAUGAAGAACUUCCUGAUUACAUUAUGGUGAUGGUGGCCAAAAGAAAAGUCAGGACCAAAUGACAAAGGACCUGUCCCUGUUUGUAGGGAACAACACAAUUCGAUUCACCAUAUGGCUUCACGGUGUAUUAGAUAAACUUCGUUCUGUAACAGCCGACCCCUCUAGUCUAAAGUCUUCUGAUACCAACCUCUUUGAUGGUAACUACCUUCAAACAAGAGCAGUUUCAGUCGAGGAGAUGAGAGAAGGCACGAAGCUGCAGUGCCACCUCUUGCAGUUUCUAGCACUAGACCUGAAAAAAGAGUCCAGAGUUUCUACAAGUUCACAGGAGCAGAAAGCCACUAAUGUCAGACAGACUUAACGAUGAUGGAGCUGCAACCCGACUAAUGUCCACACUGAAACCUUUGAGGGAGCUAGCACCCUCUGAAGAUGUGAUUGAUAUUAAGCCAGAACCAGAUGAUCUCAUUGAUGAAGACCUCAAUUUUGUGCAGGAGAAUCCCUUAUCUCAGAAAAAAACUACAGUGACACUUACAUACGGUUCUUCUCACCCUUCUAUUGAAAUCUAUCGACCACCUGCAACUCGAAACACAGACGGUGGUGCUCAUCUAAACAGGCUGCAGUUUCAGCAGCAGCGAAACAGUGUUCAUGUGCCAAGCAGCUUGAUGUUCAGAGCAGCCGGGUAUAUGAAACAGGACGCUUGUGUGAGCCAGAAGUGCUUAACAGUUUAGAAGAGACGUACGGUCCCUUCUUCAGAAGCAACGCAGAAAAGAGGAGUAUUGAGGAAGAAAAGUUUCGGAAGAGAAAGUUGCCUGUGGUAAGUUCAGUUGUUAAAAAGUUCAGUCACGACGGAGAAGAGGAGGAGGGAGAUGACGAUUGUGGGUCCCGUACAGGAAGCAUCUCCAGCAGUGUGUCAGUGCCAGCGAAGCCUGAACAGAGACCUUAACUUCCACCUUCUAAACAAGGUAACAAGAAUCUAAUUUUGAAAGCUGCUUCUGAAGCUCAAGAAUCUGUAACAAAAACAACUAACUAUUCCACAGUCUCACAGAAACAGACACUUCCAGUUGCUCCCAGAACUCGAACUUCUCAGAAAGAAUUGCUAGCAGAAAAUGGUCCAGGGACAAGGCAGAGUCCCCAGGAUAAGUUCUCCUAUUAAAGAAGAGGCAGCAAAAGGAGAUAAUAUAGACAAAAGUCAAGGAACUCAACAGAGGCAGUUGUUAUCCCAAUUGCAAAUUGAUCCCAUAAUGGCAGAAACUCUGCAGAUCAGUCAAGACAUGAGAUCAUUUAUUCUGAAGAAGCCAAAGCUGUCUGAGGAGCUAGUAGUGGCAGCAAACCAGGAGUCAAGGAUGAUGAUGGCAGAUGCCCUUUGGGCCCUUUCAGGACACCUUGUGCAGACACGAGAUCUUGUACAACCAGAUAAACCUGCGAGUCCCAAGUUUAUAGUGACGCUGGAUGGUGUCCCCAGCCUCCCAGGAUACAUGUCAGAUCAAGAGGAGGACAUGUGCUCUGAAGGAAUGAGACCCGCACAGCACCCUGCAGCCUCACACGGGGGACUUGCAACCCAGCAGUUGCACGUGCUGAGCAGGCAGCUCGAGGACCCAGAUGGUAGCUUUGCAAACGCUGAGCUGAGCGAGCUGAGCAUGGCACAGAAGCUGGAGAAGCUGCUGGAGCGCUGCAAGUACUGGCCUGCUUGCAAGAACGGGGAUGAGUGCGCUUACCAUCACCCCGUGUUGCCUUGCAAAGCCUUUCCCAAUUGUAAAUUUGCUGAGAAGUGUCUGUUUGUUCAUCCAAAUUGUAAAUAUGAUGCAAAAUGUACUAAACCAGACUGUCCCAUCACUCACAUGAGCCGAGGAACCUCAGGACUGCCUCCAAAACCAGUCACAGCAGCAGCACCGCCUUCCAGUAGUCAGCUGUGCCGCUACUUCCCAGCUUGUAAGAAAAUGGAGUGUCCCUUCUAUCAUCCGAAACACUGUAGAUUUAACACUCAGUGUACACGGCCUGACUGCACGUUCUAUCAUCCCACCAUUACUGUGCCACCACGACAUGCCUUGAAAUGGAUUCGACCUCAGACCAGUGAGUGACACCCAGUCCUACCUGACAGAAGACUGUGCCAUUUGAGAGUUUCUGUCUACUGAUGAAAGACGCUCUGCAGAAUCUGUCAGAUCUUUGAAACUUGGAAUAUAUUACUUUCCUAAUAUGAAGUUUAUUGCCUACCUGAAGUGUCUAAUUUUUCAAGUUUGUAAGUUUAUUAAGUGAUUUUAACAUUG